rnacentral:rRNA from 1 species
GACGAACGCUGGCGGCGUGCUUAACACAUGCAAGUCGAACGAUGAACCCGGAGCUUGCUCUGGGGGAUUAGUGGCGAACGGGUGAGUAACACGUGAGUAACCUGCCCUGGACUCUGGGAUAAGCGUUGGAAACGACGUCUAAUACCGGAUAGGACCUUGGAUCGCAUGAUCUGGGGUGGAAAGUUUUUUCGGUCUGGGAUGGACUCGCGGCCUAUCAGCUUGUUGGUGAGGUAAUGGCUCACCAAGGCGUCGACGGGUAGCCGGCCUGAGAGGGUGACCGGCCACACUGGGACUGAGACACGGCCCAGACUCCUACGGGAGGCAGCAGUGGGGAAUAUUGCUCAAUGGGCGAAAGCCUGAUGCAGCAACGCCGCGUGCGGGAUGACGGCCGUCGGGUUGUAAACCGCUUUUAGUAGGGAAGAAGGGCUUCGGCUUGACGGUACCUGCAGAAAAAGGACCGGCUAACUACGUG